rnacentral:tRNA from 1 species
GGCUAGGUAGCAAAGUGGUAAUGCCGUUGACUGCAAAUCUUCUAUCGCCGGUUCGAUUCCGGCCCUGGCCUCCA